AGAUCAUGUGGCUCAAUUGGAUGAGCUAUGCCUCUUGUGUGUGAGGUUGCUGGUUCGAACCCCAGCCAGGUCUC